rnacentral:lncRNA from 1 species
AUAUUUAAAAGUACGUAUUUCUAUUCUGAAUGCUCAGUGCUAACCCCAUGUUGAUGAACCCAGAUUGAAUUUCUUCGCUUCUCCAAAUUACUAACGUCACAAACAACAUUAUUUGCAUUCAGACCCAACACAAUGCUAAAGCAUCUAAGAUGUAAUAAUAGAACAUUUGCCAGAAAUCCUAGCACCACCAACAAUUUCCACUUUGAUAAAAGUUGCACAUUUCUAUCUGUAGAUCACAACUAGUCUUAAUUGUUAACAUACCACCCGUCACAAUCAAUUCAGACCAAGGGGCAACACAUUUUGCAAACAUAUCUUAUCAAUAUAACUGAAACAUGACCGUCUUAUCAACACAUUUUCCAAACAUACAUUGUGCGGAAUACAAGUUAGUGAUUCAAGAAAAGAGGUAAGAUACAAGUUAUUGAAACUUAUCGGUAAAACAAGAUAUCAAUGCUUAUUUGCAUCAAGAA